ACUGUCAAAUUUAGAAAAAAAGCGUAUAGCGAAAUCGUGUAUAUCGAGUAUGGCGUAUAUCGGGGAAUACCUGUAUAGCCACACGAGGAAGGCGCUGCUUCGCGUUCACAUGAAAAUGUGGUAGUGUGAAAUCAAGUUUGCAAACGGUAGGACGCGUCGGUGUGUGUCCGUUUUUUUCUCUCGUGAAACCAGUACGGAAAAACUAUUUGGUAAGUACAGUUUUUAAUAAAGGGUUAUAUCAAUCUUUAUCAAACUGAAUUGUAUUGAUAAUUGUGAUAUAAAAUCAAUUUCGUUUUUUUUUUAAAGAAAUCGUAACACACGCACGAACGGAAGUGAGCACGGACCACAACAGAAGCAAUAUUCAAUUGGUUGGAGUGCCGAAAACAGAACAGGAGAGGAAAGAAGGCAGGAACGAUCCGAUCCUCCAACGUGCUAGCGCCUGGUAGAGGAGAAGCGGCAGGAAGGUAGAGACGAACAUCCAGCUCGCUAGUGCAGCACGUGGGAGCAGCAAGAGGG